rnacentral:tRNA from 3 species
GGUAGCAUAGCCAAGGGGUAAGGCAUAGGUCUGCAAAACCUUGAUCACCAGUUCGAAUCUGGUUGCUACCU